rnacentral:rRNA from 1 species
UGGGGAAUAUUGCACAAUGGGCGCAAGCCUGAUGCAGCCAUGCCGCGUGUGUGAAGAAGGCCUUCGGGUUGUAAAGCACUUUCAGCGGGGAGGAAGGCGUUAAGGUUAAUAACCUUGGCGAUUGACGUUACCCGCAGAAGCAGCACCGGCUAACUCCGUGCCAGCAGCCGCGGUAAUACGGAGGGUGCAAGCGUUAAUCGGAAUUACUGGGCGUAAAGCGCACGCAGGCGGUCUGUCAAGUCGGAUCUGAAAUCCCCGGGCUCAACCUGAGAACUCCUUUCAACACUGGCAGGCUAUAGUCUUGUAGAGGAGGGUAGAAUUCCAGGUGUAGCGGUGAAAUGCGUAGAGAUCUGGAGGAAUUCCGGUGGCUAUGGCGUUCCCCUGGACAAAGAAAGACACUCAGGUGCGAAAGCGUGGGGAGCAAACAGU